rnacentral:rRNA from 1 species
UACGAGGGGGGCGAGCGUUGUUCGGAAUUAUUGGGCGUAAAGGGCGCGUAGGCGGUGCGGUAAGUCACCUGUGAAACCUCUGGGCUUAACUCAGAGCCUGCAGGCGAAACUACCGUGCUGGAGUGUGGGAGAGGUGCGUGGAAUUCCCGGUGUAGCGGUGAAAUGCGUAGAUAUCAGGAGGAACACCUGUGGCGAAGGCGGCUCUCUGGUCCCAUACUGACGCUGAGGCGCGAAAGCUAGGGUAGCAAACAGG